rnacentral:rRNA from 1 species
UGCCAGCCGCCGCGGUAAGACGAAGGUGGCAACCGUUGUUCGGAAUUACUGGGCAUAAAGAGCUCGUAGGCAGUUCAGUAAGUCAGGUGUGAAAGUCCAAGGCUCAACUUUGGAACGCCACUUGAUACUGCUGUGACUAGAGUCCGGUAGAGGAGUGUGGAAUUUCUGGUGUAGCGGUGAAAUGCGCAGAUAUCAGAAGGAACACCAACGGCGAAGGCAGCACUCUGGGCCGGUACUGACGCUGAGGAGCGAAAGCAUGGGGAUCAAACCGGAUUAGAUA